AACGAACGCUGGCGGCGUGCCUAACACAUGCAAGUCGUACGAGAAAGUCGGGCUUCGGCCUGAUGAGUAAAGUGGCGCACGGGUGAGUAACGCGUGGGUAACCUACCCCUGAAUCAGGAAUAACUGUCCGAAAGGACAGCUAAUACCUAAUAAUGUUUUCCGGUCCCCGGAUUGGAAAACCAAAGGUGGCCUCUCCAUGGAAGCUACCGUUCAGGGAUGGGCUCGCGUACCAUUAGCUGGUUGGUAGGGUAACGGCCUACCAAGGCUGUGAUGGUUAGCUGGUCUGAGAGGAUGGCCAGCCACACUGGAACUGGAACACGGUCCAGACUCCUACGGGAGGCAGCAGUGAGGAAUCUUGCGCAAUGGGGGAAACCCUGACGCAGCAACGCCGCGUGAGUGAAGAAGGCCUUCGGGUCGUAAAGCUCUGUCAGGUGGGAAGAAAUACGUGGUGCUAAUAUCACCAUGGGUUGACGGUACCGCCAGAGGAAGCACCGGCUAACUCCGUGCCAGCAGCCGCGGUAAUACGGAGGGUGCAAGCGUUGUUCGGAAUUACUGGGCGUAAAGAGCGUGUAGGCGGUUGAUUAAGUCAGGCGUGAAAGUCCUUGGCUCAACCAAGGAAGUGCACCUGAAACUGGUCAACUUGAGUACGGGAGAGGAGAGUGGAAUUCCUGGUGUAGAGGUGAAAUUCGUAGAUAUCAGGAGGAACACCGGUGGCGAAGGCGACUCUCUGGACCGAUACUGACGCUGAGACGCGAAAGCGUGGGGAGCAAACA
rnacentral:rRNA from 1 species